rnacentral:rRNA from 1 species
UACGUAGGGUGCGAGCGUUAAUCGGAAUUACUGGGCGUAAAGUGUGCGCAGGCGGCAGAGCAAGUCGAGUGUGAAAGCCCCGGGCUUAACUUGGGAAUUGCGCUCGAAACUACUUUGCUGGAGUGUGGCAGAGGAAGGUGGAAUUCCACGUGUAGCGGUGAAAUGCGUAGAGAUGUGGAGGAACACCAAUGGCGAAGGCAGCCUUCUGGGCCACAACUGACGCUGAGGCGCGAAAGCUAGGGGAGCAAACAGG